AAUGCGCAAUUUCAUCAACAGGAGAAAUGUGUGAGCUUUAUUGAAGAAGUACAGUGAUUCGUAGCUAAGUUGGGACGAAUUUCAAGAAUUAAAAUCUGAAAUAUCUUCAAAGGGGCUUAGGACUCUACUUCAAUGGUUAGAGACACAAGGAUUUAUCACGAGUUGUCCAAAGUCGUGCAGAAGGUUAUUGGCAGCAUUGGCUUCUGACACACCAGUAUGCGCAAUUGUGCCCCCCAAAUUGAGUUUUUAUCAGAAAGGCAUGUUGUAUCAAAAUUAAGCUUAUGAUCACUUUAUUCAAUUUAAAACCGUAGAAUUAAAUGGUGUGUACGGCGAUUAAUUAGAUUAUUCGAUAAUAUCUUCUUCCAGGAAA